UACGAAGGGGGGCUAGCGUUGCUCGGAAUCACUGGGCGUAAAGCGCACGUAGGCGGAUUGCUAAGUCAGGGGUGAAAUCCUGGAGCUCAACUCCAGAACUGCCCUUGAUACUGGCGGUCUCGAGUCCGGGAGAGGUGAGUGGAACUGCGAGUGUAGAGGUGAAUUCGUAGAUAUUCGCAAGAACACCAGUGGCGAAGGCGGCUCACUGGCCCGUAACUGACGCUGAGGCACGAAAGCGUGGGGAGCAAACAGG
rnacentral:rRNA from 1 species